GGUGUGUGGACCGGCUCAUCUGCUAUCAGGAAGCUCACCUGUUCACAACUCAGCUGAAGAUUUCUGCUCGAACUGUUUGGAGGAAGCUCUGAGAUGGACAGACACGGUCACGGUGGACAUGGUCAUCAUGGACACGGUCAUCAUGGACAUGGACAUGGUCAUCAUGGACACGGUCAUCAUGGACAUGGUCAUCAUGGACACGGUCAUCAUGGACAUGAGCACGGUCAUCAUGGACAUGGACACGGUCAUCAUGGACAUGAGCAUGAGGGACACAAACACGGGUUCCUCCACAAGCUGAGACACAAGCACAGGUGUGGUCACAGACACCUCAAAUGUCACAAGAAGGGGAGGGACGGUCGCGGGUACGACAGCAGCUCCUGCAGCAGUGACUCUGAUUAGAAGAAGCCUGAGAAGCAGCUUCAUCUCUGCUUUUACAAUAAUUUGACUAAUUUACCUGUAAUCAAAUUUGGUGUCUUUGGGUAAUGGGAGUUUUUAUCUGCCUGUAAAACAGAAUGGAGUAAUACUUUGUGUGGCUUUUUAAUAAAACCUGAAAUAAUAAAAAUCUGAGUGAAAACAUAA